UACGUAGGAGACGAGCGUUGUCCGGAGUUACUGGGCGUAAAGGGUGCGCAGGUGGCGGCGCGCGUGGGGGGUGAAAUCGCCCGGCUUAACUGGGCGGGGGCCUUCCAGACGGCGUGGCUUGAGCAGCGGAGGGGGACGUGGAAUUCCGGGUGGAGCGGUGAAAUGCGCAGAUAUCAGGAGGAACACCGGUGGCGAAGGCGGGUCUCUGGGCCGUAACUGACGCUGAGGAGCGAAAGCGUGGGGAGCGAACAGG
rnacentral:rRNA from 1 species